rnacentral:misc_RNA from 1 species
AACGUAGGAGGCAAGCGUUAUCCGGAUUUACUGGGCGUAAAGCGCAUGUAGGCGGUGUCUUAAGUCGGCCGUGAAAGCUCCCGGCUCAACUGGGAGAGGUCGGUCGAAACUGGGAUGCUUGAGGGUGGCAGAGGAGAGUGGAAUUCCCGGUGUAGUGGUGAAAUGCGUAGAUAUCGGGAGGAACACCAGUGGCGAAAGCGGCUCUCUGGGCUAACCCUGACGCUCAGAUGCGAAAGCUAGGGGAGAGAACGGG